UUAUAUUUCUGGUAAUUUCUGACAAGACCCGACUGGCAACACUGCAAAUAAUCACUAGUGGUCAUACGCCAACGUCACUCGCCCGAAGCCAUAAAAAAGAAAACAAAAACUUCCGGUUCCGGAAGAAAAAACAGCCAAGUGUUUUGCACUUUUGCAGCAUUAGCAGCAUACUCUCUUCUAAUCUGUGUUUUGCAGUGCACAAAAUCAGUGGUAGAACGUAGAACCUACAAGUUUUUUUGUUUUGCACGGUGUUUUAUUUAAUAAACGCUUCUGUUGUGCGAAUUGGACGCGUGACGUGCUGAAGAUUAAAGACUUUGCAUAAUGGAAUCAAAAAAAAUUUUUUUGGUUACAUUUUUAGAUGAAGAUGAUGCUCCUGGCAUAGUUUCAUCAAAGUGGUUAAGAUACCAACACUUGUUAUUACCCUAAUGUAUGCACUGAAGAAAUCAAAAACAAACUUGAAGAAGAUGCCUGCACCUGAAGCAACAUGGUCACAAUAUCAAAUAAAAAUACUUAAAAGUUAUGAAACUUAUGGCGAAGCACGAUUACAUUUUAAAAAAGCGGAAGAAACCUGAAAUUUGGACUCAGACGAAGCAGAAAAUGAUGUUACAAAUGAAGUGACAGUGGACAUAAUGUCUGCUGUAAAUUACCCAGUCACCUCCGGUUCUAAAGAGGCCAAGCAAACACAACUCAAAGCUGUUAACUGCCAAUCAGAGUGCAUUACAAACAAGCAAUAUGCUAUACAGCAGAGUCAUAUGAUUCAGAUUGUGUCAGACCUAGCUAACCAAAUGGCUGAAAUCAAUAGAAAAUUGGAUUUACCGUUAGCUAGGUCCGAAGAAACAUUUUCACCAACAGAUGACAAUGCAGGUCUUUCAGAACUUUUGGCAAGUCUACCAGUAAAGAUAUUGCAAGUUUUAAUAAUUCUGAUGACCAUUUAAAAAUAAACAAGAAUACAGGCAAUAAUGUCAUUUUUGUCUGGUAUUGGCGGCAGAAAUGUAAGAAGCCUUACGACUAAUAUGUUGAGACGAAUAAUUCUAGAUGAUGUAGCCGAGUUGUAUUCGUUAACUGGGAAACAGAUGAAAAAUUCGAAUAAAAAGUCAUUUAUGAGUACAGAAACCUAUAAAUUAAUCUUUCAAAUAUGUAGAAAAAUCAACGAAGAUGUAACUGAAGACAGUCUAAAAGAAAUUAUAAGUGAUUGGCUAAAUCAAGCUAUAGUUAGACUUUCAAGAAGAGCAGAAACACAAAAUAAAGAAAAAAACCAAUAGCGGCGACCAUGAAACCGAUUUUUUCUCAUUUAAAGUAAGAUAAGAUAAAAGUAUAAAUAAUAAAAAAAUAUAUGUUA